AAGUUCAUUGAUGAUGCGUAAGUAACAAUCCACAAACAUUGUUUUUUAUGUAGUUUCGAUUUGCUGGAUUAACAAGAGCAAAUAAGCAUGCGAUUCUGUUUGUUUUAGAAAACUUUUUGGUUUUAUGGAGUCUCACAUAUGAAGUUUUUGAGAUGGAUACUCAGACUAGAUAUCCCAUGUCUUAUGUAGCCUGAUUCUUCAGCAGCUGAUAAUUUUCUUGUUCAAGUUCUUAAAAAAUCUUUGUGGUUUUUCAGAUUCUUCAACA
rnacentral:misc_RNA from 1 species